UGGUGCCUUCGGGAACUCUGAGACAGGUGCUGCAUGGCUGUCGUCAGCUCGUGUUGUGAAAUGUUGGGUUAAGUCCCGCAACGAGCGCAACCCUUAUCCUUUGUUGCCAGCGGUUAGGCCGGGAACUCAAAGGAGACUGCCAGUGAUAAACUGGAGGAAGGUGGGGAUGACGUCAAGUCAUCAUGGCCCUUACGAGUAGGGCUACACACGUGCUACAAUGGCGCAUACAAAGAGAAGCGACCUCGCGAGAGCAAGCGGACCUCAUAAAGUGCGUCGUAGUCCGGAUUGGAGUCUGCAACUCGACUCCAUGAAGUCGGAAUCGCUAGUAAUCGUAGAUCAGAAUGCUACGGUGAAUACGUUC
rnacentral:rRNA from 1 species